rnacentral:lncRNA from 1 species
ACAAAGCAAAGCUAGAUUAUAUUGGAGAGGACAACUAUCAAGACUCCGUGACAAUUGUCAACAAAGGAUUGGAAAUGGUUUUAGAGAAGAUCUUAACCAUUUUUACUUGUCUUGACCUUUCCAAUAAUAGUUUCCAUGGCAGAAUACCAAAAGAAAUACAAAAUCUCGGAUCCCUCAUAGUGCUAAACUUAUCCCACAAUAGCUUCUCUGGCCAAAUUCCACUAGCACUUGAGAACCUAAAAGAGCUUGAGUCUUUGGACCUUUCACAGAACAAACUCUCAGGGAAGAUUCCUCCGCAACUUACAAGUCUAACUUUCCUAUCAGCACUAGACUUGUCUUACAACAACCUUGAAGGGAGCAUACCACAAAGUAACCAAUUCAAUACAUUUUCAAAUGAUUCUUACCGAGGGAACCCAAGAUUAUGUGGGCCGCCUUUGACAAGGAAAUGCAAUGAAGUUGGUGUUCCACCUUCAAUUCCAGGGGAAGAUGUAGAUUCAUUGGUAGAUGGUAUAUCUGAUUGGAAAAUCGUGUUGAUCGGUUAUGGGUGUGGAAUGGUGAUUGGGUUAUGUAUUGGAUAUACAGUGCUGAAUGAGAUGGGAAACAAAUGGCGUGACAAUUGCAAAAGGAAUGGGAAAAGGAAUGGUAGAAGAUCUAGGUGACUUCAUCAAAAUCCAUGUUUCAAAGUCAGCAGGUAAAAAUUUUCUUUUGAAACUUGGCAAUAUUUUUAAAAUUGAAAGGAUAGUUGCUGCAAACAAGGAUAUUCUUUGAAUUUCCUAAACUCAUCUUAUCUCUCUUUAUAAGGUUCACUAUCAUAUCAUAAAUUUGUUCUAGUAGCAUUGGCAUUUAUUAUCGAUGAUUCUAUUACAAUUUUGUAGUGUAGGAAUUUGAAACAAGUCUUGGCAUGUAGAAUAGUGACCGGGCCUACCUCUGCAGUUGUAAAACAAGAACAAACAUCUACUAACAACAGAAUAAUCUUAACAGACCAAGCUAAAGCAAAUAUUCGUUGCUGCUGUAUUAGAAGCAAAUAGAUUGUAUCUAGGUAUGUGUAUCUUAUGAUAUGUUGUCCGUAAACCUUUUAUAGCUAAUAUCCUUCAUAAAAUUUUCUUCAUAUUAAUCCAAUAUCAUCAUUCUCUGUUUCUCUACUUCUGCACUCACAUAUAGACAAACACAAUUAUUUUGUUAUAAGCUCAAGAGCUAUAAACUUCCAAUACUAGAUUGAUAUAAUUUAGAAUAGACCUUGACUACAAAAUAAAUAAAUAAAUAAAUAAAGGCGAUGCAAUGCAACUUUUAACAACCUGAAGGGUAUGAAUGGCAUAAAAACUUUAUGAUGGUCUAAAGCUGAAAGAACUACAUCUUAACAUAGUAUGUGGACUUGUUUAAUUGAUUCAGUUUAGGUUUUAAAAAGGUAAAAGGUGAAAGCUUCUUAUGAAAGACGCAUCCUUCAGUAAAAAGGAGUAACUCCUUCUUUGUCAUUUUUUAGGAAAAUGAUUUGGGAUGAUACUUGGUCCUACAGUUCGUUACAUAUUGCAUAAAAAAGAAAGCAUAGAUAGCUGCAAUACCUUUUAGAAAAGGAUAUGAAUUUUGAGUGAAGGCUUUCACUCAUCUGUUACUUGAUGAAAUUGCUACUUCAAUUGCAUUUUCUUUUGUCCAAUCACAAGAAAAAGGACUUCUUUCCCUCAACUUCAAGUCAUUGCAUGUGAAUGGUGAUCAUGAUUUUUUGAAACUGAUAACCACCCAACGCAGGACAUAGACGAUUUAUAUCAGGUAUCUCAUGUGGUCACUCACCAUGGGGCAUCAACAAAUGACUACUUUGAGCAGUGAAAUGCAAGAGAUGCCAAAAGACCUUGGUUGUUUGUGAUUCAAGUAAAUCAUUUUCAUAAUUUUUUGUCUAUUUAGUUUAAAAAAAAGGGCUCAAUGUUACAUUGCCAAAUAUGCACAUUCAUUUCUCAAGCAUUACUCUUUGCAAGGUUUAUGGUAUCAGAAUUCUUAUAACAUAAUCUUUUUUUUUUGGACACAGUGAAAUUAUCUAUGUAAAACUUUCCCUUCUCCUCGGACAUCUAGUCAUAGUUUAGUUGCAAGGAGCAAAUUUCACGGCAUCUUGGCAGUCAAUCUUAUUCUUUGAACGAAUUACAUUUGAGGUAAGCAUUAGUAUGCAGUUUAUGAUACCUGAAUGGGAACCUUGCCAACUAAAUAUUAGAACACAAACUUUCAGACAACAGGAAAAUAAUAUCAUUUUGGAACUAAAGUUCUGUGUUCUUGUAGGGAAUGGAUAUGCUUGUUAAUUGAGGAAAUUUUGAAGUUGUAAAGAGUAUAGACAAUCAAUUCAUGCAAGCUAUUAUGGACCAUUUGAAGAAAUGCCGGAUCAUUUUCGGGGUAGUCAUUCUUGAGUAGUCUACUUGAUGAUAUAUUGAACCAAGAAGGUUGUUAAGCCUUCUGCAAUAUGCAAUUUAACCAAUUUUGAGAUUUGACUCAGCAUUUAUGUUUGGAAGUUUUGUGCAGGUUAAAAUGAUAUUUGAUGACUCGGGGUUGAAGGCAUCAUUGGAUGGAGUGAUUAUGAAUGUAUAAAGACAUUGCUGCGAGAGGCUUCUUUUAAAACUAUCUUUUUCAUGUGGCCUUAGUUCUUGCUUGUCUGAAUUAGUGCCUAACUAAGAAAAUGUAAGUAUCAAAGAAAGGUAGUUUAUUCUCAACAGAAUGGUAAUUAUAAAAUUUUAAAGGAAAGAAGAAAACAAAAUAGACAAUUUUAUCAUAGGUCAUGCUAAAAUGUAACAUAUGUAUAAAACUGCUUUUAUGGGCCAAAGAUUAUUGAUCUUGAUGGAAAUAACCCCAUUGAGUUUAAGUUUAGGUUGGCUAUGAGAUUUCAAUAACAUUUUUUUUUCUUAUAUGCAGGAAGUAGUGUUCUUUCCAUUGAGAAAACUAUUCAUUCCCCUGCUUCCAUCAGGGAAGGCUUUCUAUGCUUUGGAUGUUCUUUCCAAUUUCGGAUGCUCCUUAAAUGCUAUCACAAUCUUCCCUAGCAGUGCCCACCCAACUAAAACUCUCUGGGGUCAUAAUAGGUCAAGAGUACUCUACGCAUAGGUGUCAUGGACUCUAAUUUGAUGAACUGGAUUCUUGGCCAUUGUGGAGGUUGUGAGUUUUAUGUUGAUUCUUGCAAGAUUAAUAUUGCAAAGCCACCUAAAGGUGGAAAUGCUAAUUCUUGUGCAAAAGACAGUGACAGAGUUGGUUAGCUUCUUCGGAAAGCCAUGAAUGUUCUCAAGUACUACAAAAAGAAUAAAAUUUGUAGAUCCCAGGGGUGUGUGGGUUUGUUUUAUUGAUGACACUGGAUGUGUAGGUGUUUUGUUUGAUUUAGUAUUGUUGAGUUAUUUUUUUGUGAUCAGCUCUUCUCGGGGUUGGUUGCAGUUGGAUUGCUUUAUGUAAUUCCCAUUUUUAUUAACAAAUUGAGGGUGUUAUUCAAAAAACAAAAAGGGUGCACCUAUCUCCUUUUUUGGGGAUGUUGACUUUUUUUAAAAAAUUAAGUGGAAACAUGAUACUAACAAAAUAUUUGGAAUCAUCUAGAUACUAAGCAACAUGCCUGCAAAGACCAGAGCUCAUGGCUGAACAAUUGAAUGCAAAGUUUUUUUUUUUUUGAAAAUUAAAGAAUUCAGUGAUAAAACAAGGAAUAAAGAGUUUCUUGGCAAAUAAAAAAAUAAAAGGCAUGAUUUUAAGAUGCUAUUCCCAGUCGCGUAUCAUCAUCCUUGAUAAACCCAAAAAAAAUCAUAAACCCAAAAAAAAAAAAAAGAAACAUACCCUUGUAUGCUUUCAAUAUACAGCCAGAUGAGAAACAAAACAACUUUGACACUGCAACAGACCUAUACAUCAUCCAUCAUUCCUACCACAUUUAUCAACAAAAGAAAGACCCAAUAUACACAAAAGCAAAUCUAUCAGCAGGCCUUCAUCUCAUAGAUCAAAAAAUUCAGGAAGUGUAAAAGAUCAAACUUGAUCCUUGGUGUUAAAGCUUUUGAGACAGACCAUAAACCUGGUAUUUGUGCAUUUCAUUCCACCGUACUCGUCCUACUAAAAAACACAAGAAAGCUCAUCUUGUCGUUGAGUCCUUUCUUUUGCCUGCCUAUCAGCAAGUUGAUUUCUCUCUCUAAAGAUUUGGUUUAUCUCCCAUUCUCUAACACCUUUCUUCAAACGUUCAAUGUGCAAAAUCCAUUUCCGCAUCCUCACGGAGCCUCAGCAAGUUUUUGACCUAUUUCACAGAAUUUUUCGAUUUGACCCAUUUCAUAGAAUUUUUCGAAUCGGAUUAGCAGGACAAGAGAGGAAAGGUGGAUGGAUAACCACAUAUAGGACAUUUAAGGAUCCAUAAUUUCUAAUGACUUUCAUGUCAUCUAAAUUAGUAUUUGGAUCUCACAUGUAAUGAUAAUUGGAGAUUAUCAGUGCGCUAUGUACAAUUAAUAAAAAUCCUUAGGACAUCGGAUGGCUUAAUCUUUCCAUUGUCAUAAGAGUUUAGAUGAACGCAUAAAUAAAAUAUACGAAUGAGAGACAUCACAAAAUAAAAGGUAAUAGUAAAUAAAUAUUAUAACUAUGCAAAAAUAAUUAGUUUUAAAAUUUUGAAAUAUUAUGCAAAAAUAAUUUUUUUUUAAAAAUUAAUUAUUAGAUUUAAUAACUUAUUCAUAUUCAUCAUGUAUAUAAAGUUUGGAGUUCGUUCAAUUUCUAAAUAAAAUGGAUCGAGAAUACUAUCUUUUGAGUAUAUAUUCAUUAGUUGAAAAUUUUAUUAUAUUAAAUAAUUAAUUAGAUAUUUUUAAUUAAUUUAAAAUUUGACAUAAAAUGAUUUAAAACUAAUAUAGUAUAUGAUGUUUUUCAUAUUUUUAUUUUUUUAUAUUUGGAGAAACUUUAAUUUUUUUAAAAGAGAGAUCGUGCACUAAUUAAUAAGUCAAAUACUCGAGUGUCAUAAUUUUAAUUUUUUUUUAAUAACAAACUUUAUUAAAAUCUAAUUAAACGAGAGAAAUUAAUCCCUAACAUAUAGUUAAUGAGAAGGGAUCUGACCUCUGCAGGGGGGACAUCAUAAAAUCUAUACUCCUUGUCUAAAUCAAAACCUUUGUUUGCUAAAUAGUUCGCUACAGUAUUCCCUUCUUUAAAAAUAUGUCAUAUUUUGACUUCUCAUUGACGAUGAAGUAGACUUUGAAUAGUUUCAAUCAAAUCUGAGUUUGAACAUGGAUGGCUUCUGGGAGAAGUGAUGGCUUGCACUACUAGUUUACUAUCCACUUAGAGUUCUAUUUUCCGGUAACUCAACUGCCACGCUAAGUUUAAUCCUUUAUAGGUACCCCACAACUCAGCUCGGUAUGCAGUGCACCUACCAAGGGUUGCAGAAAAACCACCCAACCAGUUGCCACAGGAAUCUCGAAGUACUCCACCAGCUGCUGCCUUGUCUAGUGAUCUUUUAAAAGCACCAUCUGGGUAUUUUUACUUUUAAUCAUGAAAAAUGAAGCAUUUCAUAUAUAUUUAUAAAUAAAAUAAUGGAAACCCAAAGAUUUUAAAAAGAAAAUUCUUUUAUAGCUCACAAGCCUCUGAUAUAGAAACCCAAAAAAAAAACAUUUUGAAGUGUGACUCAACUUCAUUUUGACUCAACCCAAAAAAUAAUGUGAACAUUUAAUCUGAAAAUGUAUCUAUAAAUAAUUUACUACAUAAUUUUAUUUUAAUAUUUUAAUAUUUUAUUUUCAAUACGAUUCAUUUUUUGAAACAAUUUCUCGUCUUGCGAGAAAAUAAAUUCUAUGGUCAAAUUUAAUGUUUCAAACGUAAACUGUUUUCCCCAACUUUGGAUGUAUUGGACAUUGCUUCUAAUGAAUUCUCUGGUGAACUAUCCAUCGACUCCUUUCAAGCUACUCAGCUAAGGUCCCUCAAAAUCAGUAUGAAUAAAUUGGAAGGGAAGUUGCCCAGGUCAUUAGCCAAUUGCGCAAAGCUUGAAGUAUUAGGCCUUGGAAAAAAUACGAUACAUGACACAUUUCCUUUUUGACUGGGAAAAUUACCUUUUUUGAAGGUUCUUGUCCUUCAAGCAAAUAGAUUUUACGGUACGUUCAAGUUUGUGAGUCGGAGAAUGCUUUUCCCAUGCUACGCAUAUUGGACCUUGCUUCCAACAACUUUUCAGGUGAGUUAUCCGCCAAUUUUUUACAAUGUUUGAGGGCAAUGAUGAUGAUUACAAACGAGAACAUGGCUACUCCAAAAUAUAUUGGAGAGCUUUAUUAUCAAGAUUCAGUGACAAUUGUCAAUAAAGGAUUGGUAAUGGUGUUAAAGAAUAUCUUCAUCGGUUUUACUUGUCUUGACCUUUCGAAUAAUAGUUUCCAUGGCAGAAUACCAGAAGAAAUACAAAAUCUCACAUCACUCAUAGUGCUAAACUUAUCCCAAAAUAGCUUCUUUGGCCAAAUUCCACUAGCAC